rnacentral:rRNA from 1 species
ACGAACGCUGGCGGCGUGCUUAACACAUGCAAGUCGAACGGAAAGGCCCUGCUUUUGUGGGGUGCUCGAGUGGCGAACGGGUGAGUAACACGUGAGUAACCUGCCCUUGACUUUGGGAUAACUUCAGGAAACUGGGGCUAAUACCGGAUAGGAGCUCCUGCUGCAUGGUGGGGGUUGGAAAGUUUCGGCGGUUGGGGAUGGACUCGCGGCUUAUCAGCUUGUUGGUGGGGUAGUGGCUUACCAAGGCUUUGACGGGUAGCCGGCCUGAGAGGGUGACCGGCGACAUGGGGACUAAGGUACGGACCAGAAUGGAACGGGAGGCAACAGUGGGGAAUAUGGCAGAGUGGGCGGAAGCCAGAGGAGGAAACGCCGGGUGCGGGAUGACGGCCUUCGAGUUAUAAACCGCUUUCGCCUGUGACGAAGCGUGAGUGACGGUAAUGGGUAAAGAAGCACCGGCUAACUACGUG